AAAGCGUUCGAGACAUAGUGGAGGAGAAUUAUCCCCGGAGCUAGCCGCACGAUAGGACAAAGGACGAUCUCGGACCCUUACAAGUGGUUCCACGAUAUCACCACUGCGGGAGCUUGGCUCGCCGACGAUCACAUCGACCUGGCCAUGGACUUGCUGCGAGAUCGAGCUCAAAGACAUCCAAAAUCAUUUGAUGUCCAUGGUCGAGUCAUAUUAAACACCGAGUUCCUGGGUGCCGUUACCAUAGAGUAUCAGUCGCUCGCACAUAUGGGUAACGAGAACACGGUGCCAGAAUAUAUACUCGAGUGGGUGAUAGGACUGUCACCGAGUGUCGCGGGAAAAUCAUGGGAGGGUUGUACACAUAUGUACAUUCCAGCGUGCAUCAAUAAACACUAUGUUACGCUGGAGAUCGUUUUUGCUGACUCUACUAUAUAUGUGUACGACCCAGAUCAUUCAUGUUUGACACAAGGUCAGUUGGAGCAAAAUCUGGAGUCCAUGGCUGUCAUUGUUCCUAUGAUGGCCAGACGAGCGGGGAUAAAUGUACAGGACAGAUUGCGGAUCGUUCGGAACACGACGACAGCACGACAUUC